CCUACGGGAGGCAGCAGUAGGGAAUCUUCCACAAUGGACGAAAGUCUGAUGGAGCAACGCCGCGUGGGUGAAGAAGGUCCUCGGAUCGUAAAACCCUGUUGUUAGAGGAGUAAGUGCGUGAGAGUAACUGUUCACGUUUCGACGGUAUCUAACCAGAAAGCCACGGCGAACUCCGUGCCAGCCGCCGCGGGAAUACGUAGGUGGCAUGCGUUAUCCGGAUUUAUUGGGGGUAAAGGGAACGGAGGCGGUCUUUUAAGUCUGAUGUGAAAGCCUUCGGCUUAACCGGAGUAGUGCAUUGGAAACUGGGAGACUUGAGUGCAGAAGAGGAGAGUGGAACUCGAUGUGUAGCGGUGAAAUGCGUAGAUAUCUGGAAGAACUCCAGUGGCGAAAGCAGCUCUCUGGUCUGCAACUGACGCUGAGGUUCGAAAGCGUGGGUAGCAAACAGGAUUAGAUACCCCGGUAGUC
rnacentral:rRNA from 1 species